rnacentral:lncRNA from 1 species
AUGUCUUCUCCUGGGAGGGGGAAGAGUAAUCAAGGAACAUCAGACAAGACAUCGCCUAUGUGCAGACCCUCCCAGAUGUAUCUCUCCUCGCUUCACCUUUCUGAGCCUCAGUUUCUCCAGUUACAAAAUGAGGAUAAUGCCAACAACUCACAGGGUUGCUGUGAAGCGGCCCCUGUUUUUCCACCUGUAAGGUGCCUUCUCCAGGUGUUUUCCGGAGUUGCAAGGGGAAUGGAGCUUGGUGCUGGCACUCCACCGGGGUGCUGCUGCGGUUCCCUGGAAUUAAGAUCUGACCUUGCCCUUGAAGUGUUCCCAGCCAGAAACAAGCUGUCAGCUGCCUCUUCUGUCUGCUGCAAGUCUCCUGCCUCUGACAGUUUCUAACUGCCUCCUGAAUUGUGGUUUCUAAUCUCUUGUGGACUUUGAAAAUAAAAAGGAAUGCUUGUUAAAAUUGUUUGUAGAGUAAGAGUCAAUGGGCUGUAAGUGAGCGACUGCCUUAUGGGUAGAGUGUGAGUUUAGGGCCGAUAGUGUGGCUGCCCAGAGGUCUCGUCUGCUUAUUCCUGGCGGUUCUCCAGACAUUUGUUCUCGGGUUGAAGGGUAAGGGAGGUGUUGUUCUAAAUACAUAAGAGGCUUAUUAAUGGCCAGGCAUGCACAGACUAAUUGCUUCCUGCUGUUUACACAUAAUCAAUCACGUCCACAGUUUGGAACCACUAAGCAAGCGGCAGAGUGGAGUGGAAAGAUGACUGGAUGGGGAGGGGCCUCAGAGGCCUGGGCUGCUCCAUCCUUCACGUUCAAGUCUGUCCUGUCCUAACAAACCAGAACGAAAGCCUCCCUCGCUCCCCUGCUUCUCCCUCUCUCCUCCUUUUCCAGCAAACUGCUGUUCUCACGGCCUCCCCAUUUCCUUCGCUUCCAGUCUCCCCUCCACUCUGCUCAUCUCCCAGUCCCUGCACAGCCCAAGAUCACCUCUGUCACUGUCCCUGCUCAGCCCAUUGUCACCUCCACAGCCCUUCAAACACCACGUGCCCCUACCUUAGAUGACGCCCUGGGCUUCUCCCAGCUCCACGGGCUGCCCAGUUGUACAAGUCAGGAAACUGCGCUUUGUCCCUGUGCCUCCUUCUCCACCAGCCAUGUGGCCAGGAUAGCCCAAGUCCUGUUGCUGAUAUCACCUGGACAUGUCUGGAGUGUGUCCAUGCUUCCAGCCUGAUCUCCAUCUCCACUGCCAUCAGCCUGCUCUGAGCCCCCUCACCUCUCACGGGGACAGCUACAGUGGCCAAAUCCCUGGUGGCCGCAUCCCUGGCCUCUGUGCACACCCUCUGGCCCCUUCCAGCUGCUCGCCACACUGCAGCCAGGAAGCCAUACAGUCCACAAGGUCAUGGUCAACCCUGCCCCUGCCCUCCCCUCCUCUGACCUGAUUAGAGCUUUUCCAGAGCUUUCCAUCGUUCUCUCUGGAUAAAGACCCAAAUCUUCAUCACACCUGCACGUGCAGGGAGGGAGGGGCGGGGUCUGGGGUCUGGCCCCUACCACCUCUCCAGUCCCUGCCUCCCCCUCCCCAAGCUUUCUGGAAGGCACUGUGCCCCUCCUCACACAUGGCCUUUGUCUCUGCUGCUCCCUCCUUCAGCCUCUCCUCCCCACCACCCCUCGCUCCUCCUUCAGCUUGGUUCAGGCCACCGGUCCUCAGGAAAACCACCUAUCCACCCGCCCCCGCCCCCCCUCCACCCCCCGGCCCAAGUCAGCUCUGUCCCAGAGCCUUUUCCGUCUCAGUGGCACUCUUGUCUGGGGCUGGAAUCCUACCUGGAUUCUUUGGUGGUUCCUUGAUUCUCACCACCCUCCUGGGGAGCAGGGGCCCCUUCUGCUCUCACUGGACACCAGCGUGUCAGUGCCCGGCCGGCAGGUUGCCCUCCACAAGGGAGGCUCUGGCUCCUCCUUGAGGCCUGGCCCAGUCCUGGAACUGAGGCUGGAUUGUCUUUGCCACUGCCUGCCUGUGUGACUUUAGGCAAAUCACAUUACCCCUCUGGGGUGCUGCUCAGCGUGG